GUGCCAGCAGCCGCGGUAAUACAGAGGGUGCGAGCGUUAAUCGGAUUUACUGGGCGUAAAGCGUGCGUACGGCGGCUGAUUAAGUCGGAUGUGAAAUCCCUGAGCUUAACUUAGGAAUUGCAUUCGAUACUGGUCAGCUAGAGUAUGGGAGAGGAUGGUAGAAUUCCAGGUGUAGCGGUGAAAUGCGUAGAGAUCUGGAGGAAUACCGAUGGCGAAGGCAGCCAUCUGGCCUAAUACUGACGCUGAGGUACGAAAGCAUGGGGAGCAAACAGGAUUAGAUACCCUGGUAGUCC
rnacentral:rRNA from 1 species